UCGAUAGAAAAAUAAAAUGUUUUCUUGGUAGUGUUUCGCAAUCACACGAUAACUAUCAGUGAUUGGUUUAUUAAUUCGAGUACACGCAACAUUUCAUGAAUACUUGCGGGCGGUUUAAGGUUGUUCAGAUCUCUUCAAAGCGCUCUGUAACACAUUUAACAAGUUAACCCUAAGGAAAACAGUUUCAAUACAAGAGUUGAAAUGGGAGGAAGUAACAGCUCACAUGUGUUAACGUCUGACGAUGUUGUCGAUAAGAUACGACCUUUUCGAAACGAUUUAUCGGACUUGGAUAGACGAUUGUUUAAUUUUGCAAAAUUUCAAGUAGUAGAAAAUUCGAGUAGAAUGGACGAAUCUGAAUUAUUUUUGGACUUCGAAAAUCGGGACGCUAUAAUAGUGAAACCCGACGGAUGUGCAAGGCCAAAAUCGAGAAUGUUUGUUGGUUAUGACCAUAAGGAUGACCCUAAAAUGAUAUGGGAAGAACUUAGCUUAUGGCGGCGUGCAAAGGCCUUCAUUGUUCGUGGAAUUCAAGCUAUCGUACGACACCUGCCUGAUGUUCUGGCAAUUGGUGCUAAAACUGCCCUGAAGGCUAUAUCAUUUUAUUAAAGAAACAGACAUUGACGCAAUUUUUCGUAUUAAUGUUAAAUCAUUGUGAAUUGAAGGACGUAUUCUUGUUGUUUUGUCAUUACUGACCCACUACUAUAUUGAACUUGGUAUGUUUGUAUCUGUAUCAUUAUUAAAUGGACUUUUAUAUUCAAAUAAAACACAUUAUUUAUUCA